rnacentral:rRNA from 1 species
AACGUAGGGUGCAAGCGUUGUCCGGAAUUACUGGGUGUAAAGGGAGCGCAGGCGGAUUGGCAAGUUGGGAGUGAAAUCUAUGGGCUCAACCCAUAAAUUGCUUUCAAAACUGUCAGUCUUGAGUGGUGUAGAGGUAGGCGGAAUUCCCGGUGUAGCGGUGGAAUGCGUAGAUAUCGGGAGGAACACCAGUGGCGAAGGCGGCCUACUGGGCACUAACUGACGCUGAGGCUCGAAAGCAUGGGUAGCAAACAGGAUUAGAUACC